rnacentral:rRNA from 1 species
UACGAAGGGGGCUAGCGUUGUUCGGAAUUACUGGGCGUAAAGGGCGCGUAGGCGGUCCUUCAAGUCAGGCGUGAAAGCCCCGGGCUCAACCUGGGAACCGCGCUUGAGACUGGCGGGCUAGAGUUCGGGAGAGGAUGGUGGAAUUCCCAGUGUAGAGGUGAAAUUCGUAGAUAUUGGGAAGAACACCGAUGGCGAAGGACAGCCAUCUGGACCGACGACGUGACGCUGAGGCCGCGAAAGCGUGGGGAGCAAACAGG